GAUGAACGCUGGCGGCGUGCCUAAUACAUGCAAGUCGAGCGAACAGACGAGGAGCUUGCUCCUCUGACGUUAGCGGCGGACGGGUGAGUAACACGUGGAUAACCUACCUAUAAGACUGGGAUAACUUCGGGAAACCGGAGCUAAUACCGGAUAAUAUAUUGAACCGCAUGGUUCAAUAGUGAAAGACGGUUUUGCUGUCACUUAUAGAUUGAUCCGCGCCGCAUUAGCUAGUUGGUAAGGUAACGGCUUACCAAGGCGACGAUGCGUAGCCGACCUGAGAGGGUGGUCGGCCACACUGGAACUGAGACACGGUCCAGACUCCUACGGGGGGCAGCAGUAGGGAAUCUUCCGCAAUGGGCGAAAGCCUGACGGAGCAACGCCGCGGGAAUGAUGAAGGUCCUCGGAUCGUAGAGCUCUGUUAUUAGGGAAGAACAAAUGUGUAAGUAACUAUGCACGUAUUGACGGUACCUAAUCAGAAAGCCACGGCUAACUACGUG
rnacentral:rRNA from 1 species